GACUCCUAAAAACCCCUGUCUGCAGAGUACACACAAGAAGAAAAGUAACUGCUCUAGAUGAUAAAGACUGGGGUGGACCUCUUUCUUAAUGUCCAGUGUCCUUUGUCUUAAAAUUUGGUGCAACAUGU